ACAAGCAGCGGAGCGUGUGGUUUAAUUCGAUGCUACACGAAGAACCUUACCAGGGUUUGACAUGCAAGUGGUAGGAAACCGAAAGGUGACCGACCCUUCGGGGAGCUUGCACAGGUGCUGCAUGGCUGUCGUCAGCUCGUGUCGUGAGAUGUUCGGUUAAGUCCGCUAACGAGCGCAACCCUCGCUGUGUGUUAUAUGUGUCACACGGGACUGCCGGUCUUAAGCCGGAGGAAGGUGGGGAUGAUGUCAAGUCAGCAUGGCCUUUAUAUCCUGGGCUACACACACGCUACAAUGGCCAGCACGGUAGGUUGCUAAGCCGCGAGGUGGAGCUAAUCCAUAAAGCUGGUCUCAGUUCAGAUUGCAGGCUGCAACCCGCCUGCAUGAAGAUGGAGUUGCUAGUAACCGCAGGUCAGCUAUACUGCGGUGAAUACGUUCCCGGGGCUU
rnacentral:rRNA from 1 species